rnacentral:rRNA from 1 species
UACGUAGGGUGCGAGCGUUGUCCGGAAUUAUUGGGCGUAAAGGGCUCGUAGGCGGUUUGUCGCGUCUGCUGUGAAAACCCGAGGCUCAACCUCGGGCCUGCAGUGGGUACGGGCAGACUAGAGUGCGGUAGGGGAGAUUGGAAUUCCUGGUGUAGCGGUGGAAUGCGCAGAUAUCAGGAGGAACACCAAUGGCGAAGGCAGAUCUCUGGGCCGUAACUGACGCUGAGGAGCGAAAGCAUGGGGAGCGAACAGG